rnacentral:lncRNA from 1 species
AGAGUUUUAAGUUGUUGAUGGUCGAAAGUUUGGUGUUGUUGUCUUUUGUUUAUUUGUUAAUGUGUUUUGUAUUGCUUUCUUCUUCUCGUUUAUAUGUUUACGUUUGUAUUGUAUUGUGUUGUGAUUUGCUUGUUUUAAAUGUCUGUACCUAGAUGGUAAAUGUGAAAUCUUGAAUGAUACAUACAUUUCAACAUUUAAAACAA